UGGGGACUAUUGGACAAUGGGCGAAAGCCUGAUCCAGCCAUGCCGCGUGUGUGAAGAAGGUCUUCGGAUUGUAAAGCACUUUAAGUUGUGAGGAAGGGCAGUAAGCGAAUACCUUGCUGUUUUGACGUUACCUACAGAAUAAGCACCAGCUAACUCUGUGCCAGCAGCCGCGGUAAUACAGAGGGUGCAAGCGUUAAUCGGAAUUACUGGGCGUAAAGCGCGCGUAGGUGGUUCGUUAAGUUGAAUGUGAAAGCCCCGGGCUCAACCUGGGAACUGCAUCCAAAACUGGCGAGCUAGAGUAGGGCAGAGGGUGGUGGAAUUUCCUGUGUAGCGGUGAAAUGCGUAGAUAUAGGAAGGAACACCAGUGGCGAAGGCGACCACCAGGGCUCAUACUGACACUGAGGUGCGAAAGCGUGGGGAGCAAACAGG
rnacentral:rRNA from 1 species